rnacentral:sRNA from 1 species
ACAGAAAAAAGUUCAUCAAAGCAGUUCACUAAAGCCGUUCUCAUAUCCAGGCGUUAUCGCUGAUAUCUCUUUCCUUGAGUCCCUUCAUUAAGUGUUAAGUUGAUUGCGUGCGCAAACCCGUUUGGCGAUUAAGGACGCAUACAAAGGAAUAUUGAAUGUCGAAUAAAAUGACUGGUUUAGUCAAAUGGUUUAACGCAGAUAAAGGCUUCGGCUUCAUUACGCCGGCCGACGGCGGCAAGGAUAUUUUCGUCCACUUUUCUGCGAUUCAAAACGAAGAUUUCCGCGCCCUGUUUGAAGGGCAGAAGGUCGAGUUUGUGGUCGGCAGUGGCGCGAAAGGCCCGGCGGCGACAAACGUUUCCAUCGUAGGAUA